AGUUAUUGUGUGUGGCGUGGCCCUGGUGGCAGUUUUUCUCUUUCUCUUUUGGAAGCUGUGCUGGAUGCCCUGGAGGAACAAGGAGGCCUCCAGCCCCUCCUCUGCUAACCCCUCCCCGGAGGCCCUCCAGAGCCCCAGCUCCAGAGGCAACAUGGCGGACAAGCUCAAGGACCCCCACACCCUGGGCUUCCUAGAGGCGGCUGUGAAGAUCAGCCACACGUCCCCAGAUAUCCCGGCCGAGGUGCAGAUGUCCGUCAAAGAGCACAUCAAGCGUCACACACGGCUGCAGCGACAGACCACAGAGCCAGCGUCAUCCACCAGGCACACGUCCUUCAAGCGCCACCUGCCACGGCAGAUGCACGUGUCCAGCGUGGACUACGGCAACGAGCUGCCCCCAGCGGCGGAGCAGCCCACCAGCAUUGGCCGCAUCAAGCCCGAACUCUAUAAGCAGAAGUCGGUGGAUGGGGACGAUGCCAAAUCCGAGGCCAAGAGCUGCGGGAAAAUCAACUUCAGCCUGCGCUACGACUACGAGAACGAGACCCUGAUUGUGCGCAUCCUGAAGGCCUUCGACCUCCCAGCCAAGGACUUUUGCGGCAGCUCCGACCCUUACGUCAAGAUCUACCUCCUGCCCGACCGCAAGUGCAAGCUGCAGACCCGGGUGCACCGCAAAACCCUGAACCCCACCUUCGACGAGAAUUUCCACUUCCCAGUGCCCUACGAGGAGCUGGCCGACCGCAAGCUACAUCUCAGCGUCUUCGACUUUGACCGCUUCUCCCGCCACGACAUGAUCGGGGAGGUGAUCCUGGACAACCUCUUUGAGGCCUCUGACCUCUCCCGGGAAACCUCCAUCUGGAAGGACAUCCAGUACGCCACAAGUGAAAGUGUGGAUUUGGGCGAGAUCAUGUUCUCCCUCUGCUACCUGCCCACAGCAGGCAGGCUCACCCUCACCGUGAUCAAAUGCCGGAACCUCAAGGCAAUGGACAUCACAGGCUACUCAGAUCCAUAUGUCAAAGUGUCCCUGCUCUGUGACGGGCGGAGACUGAAGAAAAAGAAAACCACCAUAAAGAAGAACACCCUCAACCCUGUGUACAACGAGGCCAUCAUCUUUGACAUUCCCCCGGAGAACAUGGACCAAGUCAGCCUGCUCAUCUCCGUUAUGGAUUAUGAUCGAGUGGGUCACAAUGAGAUCAUUGGAGUCUGUCGUGUGGGGAUCACCGCCGAAGGCCUGGGAAGGGACCACUGGAACGAGAUGCUGGCGUACCCACGGAAGCCCAUUGCACACUGGCACUCCUUGGUGGAGGUAAAGAAAUCCUUCAAAGAGGGAAACCCUCGGUUGUGAUUUCAUUCACGUGGAUGCUGCGAGCAGAGAGACUGCCACCUGGAGUUAGGAUGGCAAGGCCGAGCCGCCAGCUUCGACAGCGAGAGUUCGUGCCCGUCUCCGAAACCACCUCCGACACCAUGAGCUGCACGGCGGUGGCCAGGCUACACAGACGAGACUCAGCAGCGUUCUUUUUGCACUUGUUCAACCGUCCAAACGCAGUGUUGUGCCGCAGCGGCCGCGGGGGCAGCGCGCCUCUCACUCCGGAGUCUUAGCUGCCCCUGUGUCAGUCAAGGCCGAGACACUUGUCAUGUGGUCAGAGCUGUCUUAGUCUUUUCUGUCUCCCACGGUGAUGUUUUCAUGGUUCUUUCACUUUUUAUGGAUCUGCUGUCGAGAAGAAAAGCAGAGAAAAACAAAGAAGGGAGAGCCCAGAUGUUGGUUCUAUUAAAUACAAUGUAAAAUGGUCGUCUUUGGUGGGAAGGUGGUCUGACUUUCUGAAAUUUUGUGUCUCCACCGCGCUCCAUGACCCUGGAGAAGGAUGAGCAGUGGCUGCUUUGUUCAGUGGCCCGUGGGAGGUUGCAGAUCUGGCCAUGAGCCUUUACAGAGGUGACUCAUGACUCUUAGAAGCUCUUUGCUGUUGUGACAUAAACCAAGGUUCCGACUCCUGGUCCCAUGUUGAAAUCGCGAGCACUCAGAGCUACCUGUGAGCCUUCAACUGGCUGGUCGUGCAGAGCUCCUGGCUCCCCAUCCUUGGAACUUUCCUCCUGAAUUGAACAUGACUUGAUCCCUCAUGGGAACUGAGUCGCUUUUGUUAGGAACGGUUCUGCUGAAACAAAACAUGCCAUAUGUUUUCUGGCGCGCCACAGUUAAUGACCACAUUUGUUUGAAAACAGGAUCUUUGUUCUCAAAAAUAACCUUCGUUGUAAAAAAAAAAAAAAGGAAGCACAUAUGUUCUGGAAUGAUUUCUGCGUUAUACAUAGCUUUCUAAUUCCAUGAAGUAUCAAGCAGCUGUUUAAAAUGCCUAAACAGAUCAAAGAAAAACCUACAUAAAAUGUUCUUUUCUGAAUGGGGAGUUUUGAAAUCUAGGUAAUAGGUGGAGUGUAUCUUUCUAUGAAGAGUACCUUCUUGAUUGAAACCAAGUCAGCUUAAGUCUAUUUCAGCCGCCUUGACUCUGGGACAAUGUUCAUCUUAACUUUAGUUCUAUAAAUUAUUAAGUAUUUCAGUGUUUGUUUCAGUGGUAGUGAAUGAUUUUUUUUUUUCUUUAAAUCUCUACUGUAGGUCAGAUUCAGUUUAAGAAAAAAGUAUGUUUGAACUAUUCUGUAUUGUAAUCGUACAUUUCUGUUGAGUUAAUUAGUGGCCUUCCCACCAACCCCCUAGAACUAGGUUGAUUUGCUCCAUCAGUGUGGUAAAUGUGCGGGUGGGUCUUCACUUCUGUGUGUAGCUGAGAAAUGCCAGUUUCUAGAGCUGUGUGUGUAACUUGCAAGAGGCAGGUCUGCUGAAGAAGUGCUUCUUUCAACAAUGGAAGGUCAAGAAUGUAAAAACUGUUCACACACCUUGUGUCUUACUCUUUAUAUGUGACACAUGCUUUAGGAGCAGCAACUCAAUAAAGCUACCCUUGUUUUAA